rnacentral:rRNA from 1 species
CCUACGGGGGGCUGCAGUCGAGAAUCUUCGGCAAUGGGCGCAAGCCUGACCGAGCGACGCCGCGUGCGGGAUGAAGGCCCUCGGGUUGUAAACCGCUGUCAGUUGGGAGGAAAUCACAUGGGGUUCUCUCCAUGUGUUGACCUAUCUUCAGAGGAAGGACGGGCUAAGUUCGUGCCAGCAGCCGCGGUAAGACGAACCGUCCAAACGUUAUUCGGAAUUACUGGGCUUAAAGGGUGCGUAGGCGGCUUCGCAAGUUGGGUGUGAAAUCCCUCGGCUCAACCGAGGAAUGGCGCCCAAAACUGCGGAGCUCGAGGGAGACAGAGGUGAGUGGAACUUGUGGUGGAGCGGUGAAAUGCGUUGAUAUCACAAGGAACACCGGUGGCGAAAGCGGCUCACUGGGUCUUUUCUGACGCUGAGGCACGAAAGCUUGGGGAGCGAACGGGCUUAGAUACCCCAGUAGUC